UGAAGAGGGUACUUAGACAGGGUUGCCUUUCUGAGAUAAAUAAUUUUGAAGGUGGUGGGGGUGUUAUCUGCCUUGGUUUACCCAAGAUCAGAUCACCAAUGGCCAGCUGCAGCUUCAGCUUCUUCCUCCCUUCAGUUUUUCUCUUUCUUUUAACUUUUUCAGGUUCAUUAGUGCAAAUCCAGGGCCUGGAAGUAGGAAUAAAUUACGGUCAGAUUGCAAAUGAUCUCCCCUCCCCUUCUCGUGUAGCAGGUCUUUUAAGAUCCCUCAACAUAAGCAGAGUUAAAUUAUACGACGCCGAUCCCAACGUUCUCCGCGCAUUCUCAAAUACACAGGUAGAUUUCAUAAUCGGCCUCGGAAAUGAGUACCUGCAGAACAUGACCGAUCCAAUCAAAGCCCAAAAUUGGGUUCAACAAAGCUUACAGCCCUUCAUUCCUCAAACCAGAAUAACUUGCAUCACUGUUGGAAAUGAAGUCUUCAAAGGCGCUGACACAGGGCUCUAUUCAUUUCUCCUCCCUGCCAUGCAAACUUUGUACAACACUCUUGUUGAUCUGGGGCUCGAUGAACAAGUAAUUGUCACCAGUGCUCAUUCACUUGACAUUUUGGCUAAUUCUUUCCCCCCUUCCGCCGGAAGUUUCAGGCCCGAUCUUGCUGAAUAUAUCCAGCCUCUUCUCAAUUUCCAUGCCCAAGUGAAGUCGCCUUUCUUGAUUAAUGCAUAUCCCUAUUUUGCUUAUAAGGACAGCCCCAAUGAGGUCUCCCUAGAUUAUGUGCUCUUUCAGCCUAACCAAGGGAUGACAGAUCCCGACACUAAAUUGAACUAUGACAAUAUGUUGUAUGCUCAAGUUGAUGCUGUUUAUUCAGCCAUUGCAGCAAUGGGGCAUUCUGAUAUCGAAGUUAGGAUUUCCGAAACCGGGUGGCCAUCAAGGGGCGAUGAAGAUGAGGCCGGAGCUACAGUGGAAAAUGCAGGGAUUUAUAAUGGUAAUUUGUUGAAGAGGAUUGAGGAGAAACAAGGGACACCUGCAAAACCAUCAGUCCCAAUUGACAUAUAUGUUUUUGCACUUUUUAAUGAGAAUUUAAAGCCAGGUCCUGCGUCAGAGAGGAACUAUGGACUGUAUUAUCCUGAUGGUAGGCCAGUUUAUACCAUUGGAUUUCAGGGCUAUCUUCCUGAUCAAAUGGCUUCUGCAUCCCAGAUCAGUAUUUUUCCUAUCUUCAGUCUUCUGAUCUAUGCUGUAGCAGCAUGGUUAAUCUGUGCUUAAAAGCUUCUGAAUUUGCCGACUGAGGGAGAUAGACUUACAGCAGAAACAACAAAGUCAAUUUCAUAGUGAUCUUUCAUAUACCAGAUAAUAUAUUAUAGGGAAUACGUAGGCAUUAGCCAUCGUUUCUUAUCCCACCCAAAUUUCUCAAGAAUUUUCUGGUUGAACAUAAAGUUAAGAAUGGCUAAAGAUGUGACAUUAGCUGAAAACUUGAGACAAAGUGGUGGGCGGCAGUGGCUUUCAUUAUCGUGGACCUUGUGUUUGUCGCUUUUUGGUCUUUUAUUCCUACCUCUAAGAAAGGAUAGGGUUGGCAGAUCGAUGAAUUCGCCAUGACCGCUCAACAUAAUGAUGUCUUAUCUUAUCUAUUGUAGUUUGUGCAAAUUCUUACGUUAUCAAUAUAUCUAAUCAUAUAUAAAUCAGAAUUUUGAUAUUGUAAAAGAGUUUAAAUAUCAUUUUGUUAUUUCUUGGUGAUAUAAUUGGAUUACAAACCUAGUUAUCAUGAUUCUGCUGUAAUUUGUGUAUAUUUCAUGUUAAUGAAUGAAAUUUUAUUGCUACAA